rnacentral:tRNA from 1 species
GGGGUUGUGGCUCAGUGGUAGAGUGCUUGCCUAGCAUGUAUGAGGCCCUGGGUUUGAUCCUCAGCACCACA